CUUCCAAAUCAUCUCAGUUAAAAAAGAAAAAGAGGCACACAAAUUCGCAAUCUAGUCUUACGUUUCGCAAAGCUUCAAAACGAUAUAAAAUGGAUUCAGAACACUCUGGUGGUUCCGAUAAUGACGUUAAUGAACAAAAUGAUGAACUAGAAAAGUUUGCUAUUGUUUCAAUAAGAACUGAAAAUAAUAGGAAGGUUGAAAAGAUUCAUUUGGG